UAGCUCAGUUGGUAGAGUAUGGCGCUUACAACGCCUAGGUUGUGGUUUUGAUUCCCAU
rnacentral:tRNA from 1 species